UCGGCCCCGGUUCACGUCCGGCAAUCCCGCUCGGUCGACCCGGUGCC
rfam:Streptomyces cattleya DSM 46488, complete genome.